AUGGGCACCACUACCGAGCAAAAGAUAGCUCUGCUCCUUCUUGGAACCAUCUGGGUUCUUCUUGGUACCUGCAAUGCUGCUGAAUUCACCCCUGCAGACAACUACCUCAUCAACUGCGGCUCCACGGUCGACGCUAAUCUCCACGAUGGGAGGGUCUUCAAAGCAGACAAUUCCGGCUUGACUAUAUUGACAUCACAUCACAGCGUCCCCGCAAACACCUUGCCGGAUGCAGUCAUAAGUUCUGACAAUCCUGUGCUGUAUCAAACUUCAAGGAUAUUCAUUGUGCCGUCGUCCUACUCCUUCAAGAUGAAGAGCCGUGGCCGGCAUUUUGUCCGGCUACACUUCUUCAGUUUCAGAUACCAGAGCUAUGAUCUUGCCGCGGCAAAGUUCAAAGUGUCCACGCAGCAUGUUGUGUUACUUGACAAUUUCACUCCGCCGAGCAAUUCCUCACCAUUGGUCAGGGAGUAUUCGCUGAAUAUUACCGAGGAUAUGCUGAUUCUCUCAUUUGUGCCUCAGGGAAACAGCACAUCUUUCAUCAGUGCUAUUGAAGUAAUAUCUGUUCCUGAUGAUCUGAUACAGGAUUCAGCGCAAACUGUGAAUCCCUCCGGCCAGUAUCUCGGCCUUGCAACGCAGUCAUUUCAGACAUUCUACAGGAUUAAUGUGGGUGGACGGGAGGUGACCGUUGUCAAUGACACACUCUCGCGUUCAUGGGAUACUGACCAGAACUUCUUCCUAAAUUCCACUACCACUGAACUAUUUGCUUACCAAGGGAAGCUGAAUUAUCAGAAAGGAGCUGCAACCAAGGAGGAUGCACCGGACAGUGUGUACAACACUGCAAGGCGGUUGGCUGUGCAAAAUAGAACCAGCCCAGCGUCCAACAUGACAUGGCAAUUUGAUGUUGACGGUCGUUCGAGCUAUCUGAUCCGGUUCCAUUUUUGUGACAUAGUGAGCAAGGCAGCAUAUUCCCUCUACUUUGAUAUUUAUGUGGAUGGCGGGUUAGCGUUAGAAAAUCUUGACCUCUCUGAAAAAGUUUUUGGUACCUUGGCUGUGCCAUACUACACGGAAUUUGUCUUGAAGUCAAGCAAUCCUUCUGGUAAGCUAAGUGUCGGCGUUGGGCCUUCCAGCUUGAACAAUGUGGCGCCAGAUGGCAUCUUGAACGGCCUGGAGAUCAUGAAGAUGAACAUCAGUACUGGCACUAUUUAUGUUGUGUGGCCACCAGCACCGCCAAAAAGGAAACUGGCUAUCAUAUUGGGCUCUGUUCUCGGAGGUGUUGGUGCUGUUAGCAUUGCUAUUAUUCUCUGCUUUGUCCUCAGAAGAAAGAAGAAGGAGAAGAAGCCGCGGCGGGCACCGACAAGUCGACCUUCAAGUUCUUGGUCACCACUUACCCUCAAUGGCCUUAGCUUCCUUACCGUAGGUACCCGAACAACCAGCCGGACCACUCAUACAUCUGGGACAAACAGUGAUGUAAGCUACCGAAUUCCUUUUGCUUUGCUGCAAGUGGCAACAAAACACUUUGACGAGCAGAUGGUUGUCGGAGUUGGGGGGUUUGGGAAGGUAUACAAAGCAGUUCUGCAGGACAGCACCAAAGUCGCAGUCAAGCGGGGCAACCAGAAGUCCCACCAAGGGCUCAAAGAAUUCCGGACAGAGAUCGAGCUGCUGUCGGGGCUGCGACACCGUCACCUCGUGUCGCUCAUCGGAUAUUGCGAUGAGCAGAACGAGAUGAUCUUGGUGUAUGAGUACAUGGAGAAAGGCACGCUGAAGAGUCACCUGUAUGGCAGUGACAUGCCUCCCCUCAGCUGGAAGAAAAGAGUGGAAAUCUGCAUAGGGGCUGCAAGGGGGCUCCACUACCUGCACACAGGUUUUGCAAAGUCGAUCAUCCAUCGUGAUGUCAAGUCGGCAAACAUUCUCCUCGACGAAAAUCUCAUGGCCAAGGUUUCUGAUUUCGGUCUCUCGAAGACGGGACCUGAGUUGGAUCAGACACAUGUUAGCACUGCGGUGAAAGGGAGCUUCGGGUAUCUUGACCCUGAGUACUACCGGAGGCAGAAGCUGACCGACAAAUCGGAUGUGUACUCAUUUGGCGUGGUCUUGCUGGAGGUGAUCUGCGCGAGGCCAGUCAUCGACCCGACGCUUCCAAGAGACAUGAUCAACCUUGCAGAAUGGGCAAUCAAGUGGCAGAAGAGGGGAGAGCUUGGUCAGAUUGUCGAUCAACGGAUCGCUGGGACAAUCAGGCCAGAGUCAUUGAGGAAGUACGGUGAGACGGUCGAGAAGUGUCUUGCGAAUUACGGCGUCGACCGCCCUACCAUGGGUGAUGUACUGUGGAAUCUGGAGUUUGUGCUCCAGCUGCAGGAGGCCGGCCCGGACAUCUCCAAUGUCGACAGCAUGAAUCAGAUCUCUGAACUUCCUUCAGACGCCAGAAGGAUGGGCUCUCUGGAGAUCCGCACCGCAGACGAAGCAGACGAAAGCCGCACAAACAUGGAUUACUCUCAGAUGUCGACCAACGAUGCCUUCUCGCAGCUGAUUAACACUGAAGGGAGGUGA
rnacentral:rRNA from 1 species